rnacentral:rRNA from 1 species
UAGGGAAUCUUCCACAAUGGACGCAAGUCUGAUGGAGCAACGCCGCGUGAGUGAAGAGGGUUUUCGGAUCGUAAAGCUCUGUUGUUGGUGAAGAAGGAUAGAGGCAGUAACUGGUCUUUAUUUGACGGUAAUCAACCAGAAAGUCACGGCUAACUACGUGCCAGCAGCCGCGGUAAUACGUAGGUGGCAAGCGUUGUCCGGAUUUAUUGGGCGUAAAGCGAGCGCAGGCGGAAUGAUAAGUCUGAUGUGAAAGCCCACGGCUCAACCGUGGAACUGCAUCGGAAACUGUCAUUCUUGAGUGCAGAAGAGGAGAGUGGAACUCCAUGUGUAGCGGUGGAAUGCGUAGAUAUAUGGAAGAACACCAGUGGCGAAGGCGGCUCUCUGGUCUGCAACUGACGCUGAGGCUC